AGCGGCACUCGGAGGUCGGUUCUGAAGCGGGUGUUUGCCAUGCGGUGCCCCCCGCGCUGCCCGGCCCGCUCCCGGCUCAGGGGAACUCGGCACGGCCCCAGCGCCGUGCUCUGAUCACCGCGCCCGCCGGCUCCGCACGGGACUCGGGGAUGCUGCGAACCUCAAAUUCCCCCGAGCACCGCCCCAGCUGCUCCGAGCUGUGGGUAACCUGGCUGCUGCAGAUCCUACGGACUCACAGGACGGUUUGGGCUGGGAAAGACCUUAGAAAUCAUCUGUUUGCAACAGCUGGUGUCAGUGCAAUGUUCCUAAAUCACACAGGUUACUGCAUUGAGGAUUGUGGAAAUCAUCUCAACAGAAGAUGCUUCCACAAAUUUCUUUUUCUCAGUCUGAGUUCAAUAAUCACUGCUUCUAACAGGAACAUUGAUGCUGAAUAGCAGCAUGGCAUAUACCCCUGUCUUAAAUAACUUGACCCCAAAUUCUUCCCGUGGUCUCUUCCUCCUCUACCUUCUGCCCAGUCUGCUGGCAUCCCAGGAACUUCCUUGGGGCCCUCUAUAUUCCUCCACCCAUGCUGGCAGCAGGGAUGAAAUGGAGCAGCUUGGCUCAAACUCUGUGAUCCACCCCUCCAGUAAUUUAAACAGAGCCUGAUGGGCUGCAGCAGCAGGAGCCGUGUGCUCUCAUCUCUAGUCUAGUGGGUAAAGAAAACCUUGUGUGGAGAACUGCUGAGCUUCCCUUUAAUGUCAUUCAAAUAUAUUAGCAGGCAGUCUUGUGGGUGUUAGUCCUUGGGGACUUCCAAUAAUGUUCAGGAGUUACACAGAAUCACAGAAUGAACUAGGUUGGAAAAGACCUUUGAGAUCAUCAAGUCCAACCUAUGUCCUAACCUAACACUUCCUCAUCAACUAAACCAUGGCACUGAGUGCAUCUUCAGUCUUUUAAACACCUCCAGGGAUGGUGACUCCACCACCUCCCCAGGCAGACCAUUCCAAUGACUCCUUCAGUGAAGAAUUUUUUUCUAACAGCUAACCUAAACUUGCCUUGGCGCAGCUUUUAGGAUUGUGUCUUCUCAUUCUGUCAGUGCUGCCUGGGAGAAGAGACUGACCCCACCUGGCUGCAGCCACCUUUUCAGGAGUUGUAGAGAGUGAUAAGGUCACCUCUGAGUCUCCUUUUCUCCAGGCUAAACAACCCCAGCUCCCUCAGCCAUUCCUCACAGGGUUUGUGUUCCCAGCCCCUCACCAGCCUUCUUGCCUCCUCUGGACACGUUGGAGUGUCUCAAGGUCCUUCCUAAACUGUGGGGCCAGAACUGGACACAGCACUCGAGAGGUGAACAAACACCCUGGGCUUAUCUGGACUUACCUGGAAGCCUCUGACAUCUUUCAAAGACUCAGCACCUUCACUGAAUUUUCUGUGGCACUCACGUGGUAUCCACUGAUACGGACAGAGGAGUUGACUGCCUAGGACAUGGAGUAUCUGAAAGUGUAAGACUUGUCAAGGUUCCAGAGGUACAAGGUGCCCUCUCAGUGGUGAAUGCUGCUGCAUCCAUUUGGCAGCCAGUCACCAGUGGUGUCUCUCAGGAGUCUGUGCUGAGACCAGUUCUGUUCAAUAUUUUUAUUGAUGACAUGGAUGAGGGUAUUAAAUCUUUCAUUAGUAAAU